rnacentral:rRNA from 1 species
GACGAGGGGUGCUAGCGUUGUUCGGAAUUACUGGGCGUAAAGCGCAUGUAGGCGGCCUUGCAAGUCAGAUGUGAAAGCCCUGGGCUCAACCCAGGAAGUGCAUUUGAUACUGCAGGGCUUGAGUAUCAGAGAGGGCAGUGGAAUUCCUGGUGUAGAGGUGAAAUUCGUAGAUAUCAGGAGGAACAUCGGUGGCGAAGGCGGCUGCCUGGCUGAAUACUGACGCUGAGAUGCGAAAGCGUGGGGAUCAAACAGG